UACGGAGGGUGCAAGCGUUGUCCGGAUUUAUUGGGUUUAAAGGGUGCGUAGGCGGCCCGUUAAGUCAGCGGUGAAAUCCCGGGGCUCAACCCCGGAACUGCCGUUGAUACCGGCGGGCUUGAGUUCGGUUAAGGCGGGCGGAACUGGCGGUGUAGCGGUGAAAUGCUUAGAUACCGCCAAGAACCCCGAUUGCGUAGGCAGCUCGCUGAGCCGAAACUGACGCUGAGGCACGAAAGCGUGGGGAGCGAACAGG
rnacentral:rRNA from 1 species